AAGUGACUUCCCAUAUCCCUGCAUGUUGAAUGCUACCAUCUGAGCUCCAUGCAUCCAGCCAGUCAUAGGCUUGAAAUUUGAGGAGGUCACUCUUGUUCCCUUGGGGUACACCCUUAGAAUAUUUUUCUGUGUGAACCUAACCAAAUCAGUUCCAUAAUAUUCUGCAGCUCUUACAACUUCUUGUUCACUCAAACUAAGUCGACUGACUUUAUUACUUUCCUCUCUUAGUGCACGUUUCAAACCAUGUUUUGCCUUCCCAGCGUGAACUGCUAUCAGACUCUUGUACUUAGGUGCUUCUGGUUGGGAUGAUUGCUGAUCGUUGGAGGUGGAGGUAUCACCGUCUUCAUCAUCUUGAUCACUGUCACUCCUUUCAUCAGUGUCAUGAU
rnacentral:misc_RNA from 1 species